AACCCAUGCUGUCUUGACAAGUGCAGCCUUUGUUCAUUUAAAGCAAGCAGAAAUUACUAAGUAUACUCGGAAGCUAUCUCCUGCAAGUCGAGCCAUUCUACUCUCAGGCCCUGCAGAGCUAUAUCAACAGAUGCUUGCAAAGGCACUAGCGCAUCACUUUGAGGCCAAACUAUUGUUGCUAGAUAUAACUGACUUCUCUCUCAAGAUGCAGAGCAAAUAUGGUCAUGGCA